rnacentral:rRNA from 1 species
UUCUAUUAGAAAUAUUUAAUAGUAAAAUCUGCUCAAUGAAUAUUAAAUAGCCGCAAUUCGUGCUAAGGUAGCAUAAUCAUUUGUCUUCUAAAUAAAGACUAGAACAAAAGAUUUAACAUUUCAAUAAAUUUUUUCAAUUUAAAAUUCCAAAAUUUUCUCAAAUGUAAAAAGACAUUUAUUAAAAAAAAAGACGAUAAGACCCUACUGAACUUAACUUAAGUUAAACUGGGGUAGUAAAUCAAUUAUUAUUUUAAUAUUAAUAUUUAAUAAAAUAUCCAUUAUUAUUGAAUAAUUCAGUUACCAUAGGGAUAACAGCAUAAUUAUAUAUAAAAGUCCUUAUACAAUAUAUAGAUUAUGACCUCGAUGUUGAAUAAUAACCUAACUAAAGCAAAGUUUAAAUAUAGGAAGUCUGUUCGACUUUUAAAAAAUUACA